rnacentral:tRNA from 1 species
AGUUUUUUGUUUGGGAAACACGUGAUUUUGAAAGUCUCCUAAAGGGGUUCGACUCCCCUAAAAACUU